AUGCCGUGACGAACCAAAUUCAACACAUCAUUCUUAUUGUGAAGUGAAGAAACUUUUUACCACUGAGCAUA